rnacentral:tRNA from 1 species
AAGAAAUUAGUUAAUUUAUAACAUUAGCAUGUCAUACUAAAAUUAUUAUUAUCAAAUAAUAUUUCUUU